GUCUCUCUGGUGCAAUCGGUCAGCACGUUUGGCUGUUAACCAAAAGGCUUGGUGGUUCAAGCCCACCCAGGGAUG